AUGUCGGAGAUGAUGAGGAGCCCACACAUAAUGGCCGCCGCACAGUCCGAAGUCCGACGAGUCCUCCACGGGAAGACCGAGGUGACUGAGGCUGACAUCGCCGGCCGGCUCCACUACCUACCGAUGGUCAUCAAGGAGACCUUCAGGUUGCAUCCACCGGUGCCGUUGCUCAUGCCAAGGCUGUGCAUUGAGCAAACAAAAGUCAUGGGCUGCGAUAUUCCACAGGGCACCACUGUAUUCGUGAAUGUGUCAGCAAUCGGUAGGGAUGAGAAGAGCUGGACUGAUGCGAGUGAGUUCAUGCCCAAGAGGUUUGACGGUGAAAAGGUUGAUUAUGGUGGUACAGACUUCAGGUUCCUCCCAGGUGGUGCUGGACGGAGAAUGUGCCCCGGUAUGAUGUUUGGAGUGUCAAACAUCGAAAUGGCUCUUGCGAGCCUUCUCUAUCACUUCGACUGGAAGCUUCCUGCUGGUGCGAACCCGGAGAAGCUUGAUAUGAGUGAAGUGUAUGGGAUCACAGCUCGUCGUCGGACCGAGCUUGUGUUGGAAGCUACUGAUUUUGUGCCUUAA
rnacentral:rRNA from 1 species